rnacentral:lncRNA from 1 species
CUUGGAAACACAGCUAGUUUAUAAAUUGAGGAGAGCCUGUACUGACAAAAAAGAAAUCUUUAUUUACAUGACAAUUGAGAGAGAGAGAAGGAAGAAUGUGGCAGAGUGUAGAUUUGUGCAGUGAGAAAAAUUAGUCUCUUGCAAUUUUGUAAGCUAAAUCUCAUCAACAGCUGUAACAAUGUCUUGCUAAUCCCAGGUAAACUCUCCUGUGAGCUCUCUUUCCCGCUGUGGCAAGGAAGCAAGGUCUAAGGCUGGCUAUUUUGCUUUUUACCCAGAACGCCAGUGCCGUGGACAAACUCCCACAUAACUGCGAUUUGCUUCCCUUCUCUUCUCAGGACAAUCGGCAAGCUGGUAGCCAUCUGGGACUCUGUGGGUCCUUGGGAGGCUUCAGCGCUCCCUAUGCCAAGUCUGCAGAGUAGCUGUCAGAAGUCACCUCAGAAGGUGUUCAUUACGCUUAUUUGUGAGGUCACUGCCUCAGAUCCUCUCAUUGCAGUUUAAAGCUCAUCUAGAGCAGCAUAUUCAACCCACAAUUGGUGCUAUAAUCGAUGCUGAACUUAUUGAAAACAGUUAAAAUAGUUACCAAUGCUAUCAUAUAUAUCAUUAUACACAAGAAGUCUAAAAGGAAGAGUUCUAUCUGAGGUCUGUUACCUCCCUUUCAUCCGAACUUGAUGUAAGAAUUGACUGCAAAUUGUGACAAAGACAAUCUCUCUUCCAUUGACUCAUCUCUCCCUCUGAGUAUUGCACAAUAUGUCAUCUGACAUCUUUUCAGGAUUGCUAAUCACAAUUAUUGGUUUCACGUACUUCCUCUGAAAGUAGCUCAUAUUUGAUUUUACCCGCCUCAUCAAACCUAUGCAACAAGCUCAUCACAUUUAUUCUGUCAUUAUUAGAAGAUGUCAUGAUUCUUCUUUUCUCUUGUAAUCGAAUAAGUUCUGCACUUUUAGUUUUUCACUCAUAGCAUCAAUUUCCAAUAUUUUAUCUACUUUUUCCAUCAAUUUCCAAUAUUUUAUCUAUUUUUUCCUCUUCCAGGUGUACAACUUUUGCUCAAUGCUUUAAUGUAAUCUGGAGUUGGAUAAAGGAAGAAAAGAACACUGAAUUGAAGACUAGGAAGAAUUAAGAAGAGAAAACAUUAUAAUCUGUAACUGUUUUUUACUUUACAAUUUAUAUCCUCUUAGGUUAGUCCUGCCUUUGUUCUUCUAUGCUACCUUUCUCUGACUGGUUGAUAUAAGCGGGAACAACUUUCAUCAGAGGAUAAAGGAAGAUGAAAUUUCUUUAGUUACAAUACUAUGUACUUAGUAUCACAGUUCAAAUGACCUUCAAAAGCUCACUGAAAAAGAAGUAGUAGCAAGUACAAUGUGCCAGGAAUUGUGUUACAGUUAUAGCAUCGAAAGAGAGAAACCUGACUUUCCCUGAGUCCACGGUCUAGUGAGAGAGACAAGAAACACAAAAGCAAUUGUAACACAGCAUAAAAGGACAGAGACAAGGGUAACACAGGUUGCUGUGGAAGACAGAGUUGGGUCAUCUGACCAGGGACCAAGAUUUUGGAAUAACAGUGUUAUAAUGGCCAUGAAAAUAAACUCUUCUUGGCCAGUUGUCUUAUUACCCAUCAAUGUAUU